GCCCCUCAGGCGCCGGCCCCGCCUCCAGGUCAUCCCAAGAUGGCGGGUGAAUGGGGUCCAGCUCCUGGGGCGCCCCCCUCCCCUUCAGCCGGAACCACCCCACGAGGCCCGAGGACCCCCACAACCGUCCCUGAGCCCACCUGCCGCAGCCCCCUCGUAACUCCUUGUGUGUCUCUUGGUUUUCAGAGAUGUCCCUGUACUUUGUGGACUUGCAGGAUGACUUAGACGAUUAUGGAUUUGAGGACUAUGGCCCUCAAAAACUGCAAUGACAUGAGGGUGACAGCCUUCUUGGACAUUCCAGGCCAGGACAACCUGCCUCCCCUCGCUCGUCUGCAAAAGUAUGCUUUUUCAGCAGUCACAUCUUCAACUGAGCCCACAGUGCGGACUGAGCUGAUGGAGCAGAUUCCUCCUCUUGCCAUUUUUCUAUAAGAAAACAGAUCAGAUUCUCCAGUGGUGCUCUCUGAAUGCCUCAUACCCAUCAUGGUGCGGUACCUCACAGAUCCAGACAAUCAGCUCUGCCUCCAUGGCAUCACUGAGUCAGGCCCACCCUUGCUCAGGGUGGCUGAGUCAGAGCAGCACGGUUCUGUUGGCUUUGGUAGCUCCUGAAGUUUUUUGAGCUCUGCACGGACAGCAUGUGGGGGAUGCGCAAAACCUAUGCUGAGUGCUUCCUGGCCGUGGCCCACAACGCGUCCCCUGAGGUCUGCAGGGCCAGACUCUGGCCCCUUUUCAUCACACUGAUCAGUGACCCCUGCCGAUGGAUGAUGGAUACACUCUAAGCAGACCAUUCAAGAUGGUUCACAAGCAUCUCUCCAGUGUUAAUGUUCCUCAGCAGUGAGAGAGGAGCUCAAGUUCAGGGAUUAUCAGCUGCACGGAGAGCUGCCCAGCUUGACUCUGUGAACAAGGCCUAGCACCAGCCAAGAGAAGGGCCAAGUGAAGUGUCCAUGACAGGUCCCAUCCCUGACCCUGACAGCCAGGGGCCCCAGCUGACCUCACCACCGUGGGGCGAGCUUUCCGCAGCCAGGAUAUUAGCAAGCACGGUCAUGUGUUGGAUAACUAGACAACCAAUCAAUGGGGUGAUUGAUAACACUGACUCUCCUCCACGAAACAGAGGUGGGAGACCAAAAAGCGCCUUCCCCCCUCCCCAGAGAUGACGAGACCUGCUUAUUUGGGGGGAAUUAAAUGUCUAAAGGCUCCAUCUCACCGCUGACCGACAUUCACAUCUUUCAGUGAUGAGAGGAAGUGAGUUCAUGCAGCUCCUGGAAUGUAAAGUUGACAGCGGCCUUCAAGCUGUGUAUCACCUCCAGCCUGUCCUGCGGGCCUCCUCUCACACCUGGCUGCUCAGGAUGGGAGGUGGAUGCUGUUUCUUGGGGGAGAGAUUUUGAAAAGCCAGUAGCUCAUCACUUUUUCUCCUCUAGUCUGAAGCCAGCCCAGGUGAGACCUGGACUCCACGUCUAGGGCAAGGAGGAAGCCCAGCACUUCUUUCUUUUUUUUUAAAAAAAAAUUUAUUGGCUUGGUAGCUCAGGUGGUAAAGAAUCUGCCUGCAAUGCAGGAGACCCAGGUUCGAUUCCUGGGUUGUGAAGAUCCCCUGGAGAAGGCAACCUACUCCAGUAUUCUUGCCUAGAGAAUUCCAUGGACAGAGGAGUCUGGUGGGCUACAGUCCAUGAGGGUCACGAAGAGUAGGAAAUGAAUGAGCAGCUAACAUAGUUGAUGUGCAGUGUGUUAGUUUCAGAUGUACAGCAAAGUGAAUCGGUUUCACAUAUACACAUAUCCACUAGUUUUUAGAUUCUUUUCCCAUGUAGACCAUUAGAGAGUAUUGAGUCGAGCUCCCUGUGUUACACAGCGGAUCAUCAUUAGUUACCUAUAGUAGUGUGUCUGUAUCAACCCUAGUCUCCCAGUUUACCCCUCCCCCUGCCUUGUCUCCUGGCCAUCAUAUGUUUGUUUUCUACAUCCAUGACUCUACUUCUGUUUUGUAAAGAGGUUCAUUUGUACCUUUUUGUUUAAAUUCUACACAUAAGCGAUAUCAUAUGAUUUGGCGUUUAUUUCUCACCUUAAGUUUCUCCAGCUUUCCAGCGUGCUUAUGGUUCGAGGCUCUGAUGCCUUCCUAAUUCCUACUAAGCUUGCACACGGACCCCCUUGAGCUGGGGUCCUUCCCAGGUAAUGGUAAGCCUAUCGAAUUAAAAUCAGCGAGGAAUCUGUGCUCAUAAAGUCAUGGUGUGUUGGCACUCUUUCAUUUUUAUGGGCUGUGAUGGGCAGUCUUCAAAAUUGUGGUCUCCAGGGCCAGAGUACCAAUUGUUUGUCCAUUCUCACAGUUUAUAUUUUGGUUUUCAUGAUUAAACUAACUUAUCACCUCCCUUUACCCCCACUGGUUCACUCCAGUAAAGCAAAACAAAAGAUGAAUGAAAACGGUCCAAAUACUAAAUGUUUAAGAGUUCGUUAAGGUUGCCUUUGACUAGUAAGGGAUGAGAUGAUAUCCUGUUUUGCUGAUUGGUUUCAAAAAAUAGGCAAGAAAGCUCAUAUUGUUACCCUUGUUGCCUGGAGUAUAAAAACCAUCUGUGUUAAGUGGAAAGGUGUGGUCAUGUAUACCUUGGUGGGAGACGUGGUACUCUUUGGGCUUCUUUGUCAUACAUGGACACAAAAACAGAAACAAAAGAACAGAUACUUCCAAGCUGGUGUUCUUAAGUGAUGGAUCUUGAAGGGUCUGCAUAGCUGGGCUCUUGGUUUAUCUUGAGGUAUGUCAGGCAGCUUGAACUUGACCCUUAGUUUCCUAAGGGGUCAGUCAGGAUGCUUUUAGUUGCAAAAGAAGAAAAAACAAACAAACAAAAAAACCUCAAAGAGCUUAAGCAAUGAGGCAGAAGAGGAGGUGAAGCUGGGAGACUGGUCCCCUCAGCCCUUGUGUUGACCCUGGUCCAGCUCCCACUCUACCAUCUUUAUGUGCUGACUCAAUCCAGAGCUAUCCGGGGAAAGAGGGUCUUGUUCUUCCCACUUGUCUCUUUUGACUGCCUGGUGGUUUUCUGGGGAAAUGACCUCCUAGCUCCUUCUGGGGUUGCUUUGACUUGGGGUGGUUUACUUAAACCUUAACUUGGCUCCAGGAGUAAGUUCUGUAUGUAAUGAUGGCACUGAAGACUUGGGAAUAAAAUUAAUUCCUGGAGGAAGAGAAAUGAUCUAUUAUUUAUUAAUCUCUGUGAAUUUAUUAACUUGGAGAAAUUGAGGUCUUAGGUUAUCACAUCAAAAUAUUUCUGUUUUAUCAUGUCCCUCUAUUAAAAUGAGUGGUACAUUUCAGUGAAAACCUUGGGAAUUGAAGGUUCUGGUAGCAUGCCUCAGAGCAAGCGAAGCAUCAAUCGGUGUAUUAAUCGACUUUCCCGGAUCAUAUAUUGAGCUGAUUUGUCAGAAUCCAUUAAGCUAGUCGACAGUAUGACAUUUCAAGUGCAAGUAGGAAAAUCCAUGUUAUGGUUGAAGGAGAAGGUCAGGUCCAUCUCAGUUAAUCAAUGAUCAGAGACCAAUAUGUCACCGCCGGACGGUCCUGCUCAUUUUAAUUGUUAACCUAAUGUAAAGGUUCAUCAGCAAACAUUAGAGGUGUUUGUACAUGUGAAAAUUGAGAACAGUUUCCUAAGUAAAUACUCUUUUAUCAGCCGUGUCUUUUCACUCAGAUUAAAUGGGUCCUCCCCUUCACUGUCCACCCUCUCUCUCUGGAGUCCAGCCGGGAGGCACUCUCCUAUUCCUGAGAAACGCUGAGGGUACUGAUCACCAUUUCCUACAAACCUUGCUCUGCCUUCUGGAGUGGUCUAUGCUUUAAACAUGUGACUGUUGAUCAGUUAACCAUACCGGGGAUCCUGGGGCUUAAAGAAGGGUAAAUGCAGACUCAGGUUGUUGGUACCCAGCAACGGGAGCCUGUCUUUUGUAAGAGCCUCAAGCAGCCUUGAAUGUAAGAUGCACCUUCAGUGAGUGACCUGUGCGAUAUCAAAUAUAAGCUUGCAAAUGUAUUUUUUUGCAUCUAGAGAAAUGCCACUGACUUCAGGGGGAGCUCUGGCCUUGGUUUGCAGAAGUCAUUUCUGGCCUUGAAAGAGGGUUCUUUGAAGGGGGAGCAGUAGGGCGGCUUCCUCCUUUGGACUGUGUUGCUAACCUGCCCACUCUCUCUGCAGGGUCCAGGUGGACCUGGCAGUGGUGUGAGGGGCCCCAGUCCCUUCGAAGAGAAUAAAUCUAAAUUACAGGUUUCUUCCUUGACAAGAAAAGCAACUCAAAAUUUUACAUUAUCUGGAAGUUAAAUUUAAGAAUGGCUGUUGGAGCCAAAUGUUUUUCUUCCAUCAAUAUUAAUGACAUAUCUUAGUUCAUAAUCUCUGUUGCUAAUAUUUCCUCUCCAACUGAAAAAAAAGUAAAUUCUCAAGUAGUGUUUAAAGUAUUCCAAACAAUCUAGAAUGGUAUCUUAAUAAAACAAAAUGAAGUAUGAGAAAAGAAUUUGACACGUAUACAUUAAUGUUUAAUGUCUAUUUAUGCAAACCAUUUAAGUCCUUUUUUUUUUGGUCCGAAAACUUUUUGACAACUUCCUUUGUUGAACCACGUUUGGUUUUGUUCUACCUCGUGGCUAGUUUCUUGUGCUAUGGAAGUUCUCUUAAAGGUUUGUAAUCACUGAAUCCCAUUGUCCUCAUAGAGAAAAGGUGAGUGGGUAAUGUCUUAAGAAGGCAGCAUUCCGUCCAUUGGAAAAAGGUAGUAGUGAGCAGAGUGAGGGCCUCGAGCCAUAGAGGCUGGGGCAGUUAUAGGAGAAGAGGAGAGGGUUUGCAUUUUCCAGAGCUGCCUGGACCAGUCUAACAAGACGUGGAUGUUCUCAACUGUGCUCUGUGACAUGGUGCUGGACCAGUUUGGAAACGACCCUGCUUUAACUUGCGUCCAGGUUGAAAACUCACCCCCCUGCAAAACCAGAAGUCGGUCCAGGCCUCUCGUCCCUCUUACGUCUCUGCUUGGCUGUUUUCACAUUUAAGUUCCAACCACCUUGUCUUUCGUGAGUAUUCUCCCUCUCUCCUGCAAGCAUGAUGGUUUCCUUUCUCUCCCAUUUCCCAGGACAUAAAACCUCAGCCCCUGCUAGAUCAGUGUGUGUCCAUGACCGACCCAGCAGCGCAGACCGUCAACACCAACAUAGCCAAACACUGCGCCUGCAGCCUGCCUGGGGGUGGCGCUCACCCUGGGCCGGCAGAACUGGCACUGCCUGAAAGGCACGUACAAGACGCUGGCCUCCGACGUGCGGGUAAAAGAAGCCUUUGCAGAGGCUGGCUCAGAACAGCUAAUUAGGAGACGGGGAAGCUGCGGCCAGGCCCACUGACCUGUGCUUUUUGUGGCUGACGUUGGCGUGUUUACUGGCCUCUGAUGAAAUAGAGCUUUAAGUGGUCAGCACCUGGCAGUAUCAGUUUUGCUCCAGAAAUGCCACCUACGCUCUUGAUAAUGCUGAGUUCUGCUUGCCUUCUGAGGUCCACCCCGUGGAAAGUCCAGCGCACCCUGGCCUUCUCUUUCCACGAGCUUGCUGUGAUCUUUGGGGAUCAGUUAACAGCAGCCCACCUGCUACCCGUCUUCAAUGGAUUUCUAAAGGACCUGGAUAAAGUAUGAAUAGGAGUCCUCAAACACCUGUAUGAUUUUCUAAAGGUAGGGAGAAGGGUUAAAACAAUAAACAAACCUCCCCUCUUCAAUACAAUUUUUUAAAACCCUGGGUAGGUAUAGAUUCAGUUAAAAAAAAAAAAAAAGCAGCUGUCUGGGUUUCUUCAGUUGAAACGUAUCAUCCACAGUCUUAAAGUGGGCAUUCUUUCAGUGAUGGGUAAAUAUUUUUCUGUCUUUCCUCCUAAUCCCCCUGUCCCUUAGAGUUCUAAUGCCAUGGAGAAUUACACUCCGGGAAAGGAGAAGCUGGGUUGCCGGGCAGCGUGUGCCUUGCCCGGGGUCAUCUAAGAGAAGUGCCCGGCUGAAAUCCAGUCUCAGUUCUGCAUGAAGAGCUUUUUCUUGCAAGAUGGUGCUGAUUGCCUCCUUGCCUUUUUUUUUCCUCCCCUCCUAAAGGAAUGAUGAGUAUAAAACUGAGAGUUUAAAAAUGACCUCAAGAAACUAAUUAGUUGCAUCCAGACGACCGGGAGCUGCCCUUGACAGAGCUGGGCGCCUGCUGCUUGGCUGGUGUGGGCACAGAGCGCGCGAGCAGCGCCUCCUCCCUGGGAAGCAGCGUGGCAUUAUCUCCCGAGCACACACAGGCCUGGGUUUUUUGUGUUUUUUUUCAGGCAGGAAAUUGUGAAAGAUGGAAGAGUGGAGGGCGUGUAGAAACACACAAGCAUAUACACGAAACAGGGGGGAAAGGUUGGAAGCAGUCAGGGAGGCACUGUCUGUGUGUUUACAGCAAAGCUAAUUCACAGCCACUCUGGGUAAUGGAGACUCAGGCGUCAGGGAGACAUACAGCUAUGGCCAGGGACAGAUGUAUAACCUGAAGUUUAUAAGAAAACAGAGUAUUGGGGGGCAUUCUGGAGGAUUAUAUAUUCUUAUUUAUAUGUAAAUUUUUAAAAACUAGUUGCUUCAUGAAGACAAGAGGAGAGAAUAUCUUUAUCAGCUUCAAGAAUUUGUAGUGACCGAUAACAGCAGCAAUUGGAGGUUUCGAUAUGAACUAGCAGAGUUGUGGCAAUUCUGCAGAAGUUCUGUUUCAACAGUGGAAGUGCACUGGGGUUCAGUUUCAUCAUGAACUCAUCCCAUGGUUCCGGCACUGUUCUAAGUGGGUCGGAAGGCAAGCAUUUGCUUUCCUUUGUCAGGUUGGCAGGGGCCCCAGGGGAGCAUCCAGCACGAGCAUACGUUUCCUGUGUGACGUCAACACACAGCACCAGGCGAAGGAUCCCAGCCCUGGAGGACUGGCCAGAAGCUUGGGGAUCAGUGGACCGGGCCCCCUCACGCCACAGCCUGGUCAGGCAAAGAACCUGCCCAGGGUUCCCCAGCCACUCUGUGCAGUCCUCUGUGGAUAGCAGCCAGGCACCUGCUGUGUGCUGGGCGUGCUGAUGGCGUAGCAGGGCGGGAACCACCUCUUGCUCUCCCAGCACCUGCUGCCCAGUGCGUGGGGGCUAGGCCCAGACUCUCCUCCGGUCAUGCCCGGUCCUGCUUCUGGGAAAGUGGGGGGUGGGGGCAGUGAGAAACAGAGUAGUGGGGCAGAGACAACUUCAUCUCUUUAAGGUGAAGUUCAGGUCCCCAGGGAGCCCUCUCUAAUUGUUGCUCAGUCGUGUCAUAUUCUUUGCGACCCCAUGGACUGUAGCCCACCAGGCUCCUCUGUCCAUGGGAUGCUCCAGGCAAGAAUACUGGAGUGGGUUCCCAUUUCCUCCUCCAGAGGAUCUUCCCGACCCAGGGAUGGAGCCCUCAUCUCUGGCAUCUCCUGCGUUGGCAGGCAGGUUCUUUACCACUGCGCCAUGUGGGAAGCCCACCCUCUCUACCCAGCAUCUCAGAAACGAGGGCGUGAUUUGUGUUUGGCUGGGGACGAUGGCUGCCACUUUUGAUCGCCUGUGUGUGUCAGGCCUCUCAUCCCACAUCUAAUGCCAACGCUUCUGAUGGCUGACAGGAAGGUCCCCCGGUGUGGAGCUCGGUGUGCCCAUAUACUUCCAGUUUGUUUUUAGUUGGAGGAAUUGAAGCCCAAAGAGGUUAAGUAACUUGCUCAGGAUCACAUAGGAAGUAUAAAACCAUGAUUUGGUUUGUUUGUUGGUUGUUUGUUUUCUGCUAAAGUGCUAUUUUAACAGUUUUAACUUUUCCUCAGGCACAUACCCUGUGGCACACAGAGGGAGCGGGAGGAGCAUAGUGAACUCCCAUGUGCCCGUCACCCAGCUUUGCCAACAGUGUAGUAAAAGCUGGGAUUGGCUUCCACCUGACCCUAGCCCCAGAUCCCCCUUUCUGUCUCUGGGAACCAGCCCCGCCUUCCCCACUGAAGAACUCAUGAGGGGCUGCCGCAGGCCCGCAGGGGUUAUCACAGGGGAACCAUGGCCAUUUACUUGUAGAAGGGCAAACUUGGGGCAGAGUUAGUGCCAAAUUCACCAACCACAGGCCUGGCACCGCAGGCUUUUAUCAAGAAGAUAAGAUAAAAAGAUAAAAUCCUAUUUUGUGGAGAAAGGGUAAAUGAGAGACAUUUGCUUUUAUUUUAAAAUUCCUUUUUUUUUCCCUGAGAUUCAGACAGUCCACAAUGAAAUAAAGGGAAAAGGGACCAACUAAUUUUGUCUAAGAAAAAUCAAUUUUCUUGUGUGUGCUUUCAUUAAAGAUUUAGAAAACCCUACAGUAACACAUACAGAAGGACAGGGGACUCAGCCAAGAGAACCUCCCAAGAGUCAUGUGGAUUAUCAUUUAAAGGUGGGGAGGGAGCAUAACCUGGAGGUUAGCGGGGCCACCUUUGGAGUCAAAACCGGUUAGUCUGAAGCCUGAGUCUCCUGUCUCCCUGCCGAGUGGUCUUGGGCAAAGCCCCCUCUCUGCGUCUGCGCUGCCUCUCUGCCUUCUGUGAGACGGGGCUCCGGUGGCAGGGGUCUGCCUCCUGGCAUGGUCCUGAGGCUUCGAUGAGCAUAUGCACCCGCGUUACCCAGCAGAGCUCCAGGCACCUGGAAGGCACUCGUAGAUGUCAGCUGCUAUUGCUCCCCUGUAGGGGGAGGAACUUCAGGAUUUAGAACCCAUUUUCCUGGUUUAGGACCCCCACCUCGCUCCUGCUUACGGAUCAGGAAACUUUGGGUGUCACCGUCACAGUGGACUCACCUGUAAAGCUAGGCUCGCUCUGAUUUCCACCACUGGCUAUGAGAACGAGUUGGGAGCAUACACGUGAGACUCUUUGUAAGCAGAGCAGCGGUGAAUGCUGGUGGUUAUCACGGAAGCUGCAUUUGUUACCUAUGCACAGAUGGCCGGGCGCUGGAUUGGGGUCUGGGGUUUGAUUGUCAUGUGACAGGCGUGGCCCCUGUCCUCAGAGCCUGAGGCCUGAUGAAUGCCAGGCAUGAAGGUUCCUCACCCUUACUUUGGCGCCAUGCUAGACUCCUCAAGGAUGUCUGCAUUCUCGUUGCUGCUCCAUUGUACAGAUGAGGAAACUGAGGCCCAGAAAGGUAAAACCACUUACUCAUGGCCACGAAGCCAGUAAGUGAUCAGAUUGGGUUUUGAACCUGGACCUAUCUGACUCCAAAGCCUUUGCCUUCUCCACCAGAUGUUACGGGCAGUUGGACCCCAGUGCUUGGCAAUGAAUUAUAAAGUGGUAAUAACCAAAUUCAGUGGUUGAGAUUUUGAAAUUCACACACAUACUUCUCAGACCAAACGAUCCUGAAAUUACUUCUUUGGAAUCACAGAAGUGUAUGUUUUUAGAAAAAGCAUGCUGACCCCUAUUGAAAAAUGUCCACUUUUUGGCUGUGACUUUCUUUUCAUCAGAGGCAGUAGUGAGCAAGGAGUGUAUCCCCAUGGACCAGUCUGUCGAACACAUACUGCCCAGCCUUUUAAGCCUCAUAUCAGAUCCUGUGCCAAAUGAGAGGGUUUUGCUUGCCAAAGCUCUGAGGCAGAUACUAUUGGAAAAGGGUACUUGGGCCAGUUUUCUGAGCUUACAGAUUUUAAAUUUCAUCAGACAGCAGCUGGUUUUCCUCUUUCAGGAACUGUGGCAAAUUGUGUGAUAUGGCAUACUUCAGAUUUAUUAUACAAAUUGUUAUAUUUUAUACAUGUGUAUGUGUCAUAGCCCACUCUUUGCAACCCCACAGACUGUAGCCUGCCAGGUUCCUCCGUCCAUGGGGUUCACCAGGUGAGAAUUCUAUAGUGGGUGGCCAUUUCCCACUCCAGGGAAUCUUCCUGACCCAGGGAUCAAACCCAAAUUUUCUGCGUCUCCUGCAUUGCAGGCAGAUUCUUUACCUGCUGAGCCAUCAGGGAAGCCCUACUUUAUGCAUAAAAUGUUACUUAUAAAAUGGCUAGUAAAAUUCGAUCGCUAUUUUAUAUUUAAUAAACAUACGCUAAAACGCAAAACAUUACAUAGUCUUCUAGAAACGAGAGAAACUUUUAUGAGUUUUAAGCUCUGACAUAGAGAUGAUGAAAGGAAGUCAAUUUAAGCAUUAACUAUGAUUGGGUUUUAAUGGUAUUAAUUUUGUCGUCAGUCAGAAAUAGUUUAUAUCCCAACCUAGUCAAUUAUUUUAAGCCUGAACAGGGCCUAACAUAAGAUAGUUCAAUUCUGCACCAGGGGUACAGGCAAAUGUCUUAAAUCCUGCCCUGCAUAUACCCAUCUUGCCUCUUCUCUCCCAUCCUGUACCCUAGCUUGCCAGCAACCUGACCCCCACUUCCUGUGUUCUAAGUUGCCGAUUCUUUUGUAUUGGAGGGAAGAAAAGAUAAUAUUAAAAGAUUUUUAGUCAUAGUUUUAAAAAUACACCUACCUAUUCUAAAAAGUUUGUGUUUACAAGUUAGGAGAUACUCUUUCAUUAAUGCAAUUUUAUUACUUUAAAGGACAUUAUGAAACAUGGUGUAUAUUGUCCUGAGAUGUGGUUUUAAAAAAGAAAAAACCCAGCCUAAACCAGCGUAUGUUUUAGAACACAGUUCACAGCACCUGUGAUUCAGUUUCGUGUUUUGUUUUU